rnacentral:rRNA from 1 species
CCUACGGGGUGCUGCAGUGGGGAAUAUUGCACAAUGGGGGAAACCCUGAAGCAGCGAAGCAGCGUGCGUGAUGAAGUCUCUCGGUAUGUAAAGCUCUAUCAGCAGGGAAGAAGAAAGACGGUACCUGACUAAGAAGCCCCGGCUAACUACGUGCCAGCAGCCGCGGUAAUACGGAGGGGGCAAGCGUUAUCCGGAUUUACUGGGUGUAAAGGGAGCGUAGACGGGUGUGCAAGUCUGAAGUGAAAGCCCAGGGCUCAACCCUGGGACUGCUUUGGAAACUGGGGAGCUAGAGUGCUGGAGAGGUAAGUGGAAUUCCUAGUGUAGCGGUGAAAUGCGUAGAUAUUAGGAGGAACACCAGUGGCGAAGGCGGCUGACUGGACAGUAACUGACGUUGAGGCUCGAAAGCGUGGGGAGCAAACAGGAUUAGAUACCCCUGUAGUC